UGUAGCACUGUGGCUGCGUCGCCAGGCUCAGACACGGGGUGCAAAAUGAUUGGUGGCCCAAUGUGCCUCAACUCAGAGAUGAUCCAGAUUCCACCAUCACGUCUUGGGUUCAUUCUCUGCAUGAGCGGGUAGCCCAAUGGCUAGAGAGUUUGAUAGGCGGCCUGGGGCCUGCGUGCCCUUUGCUUGUUUGAAGUACAACACUGGACCCAGAAAUCCCUGGCUUCGAUAUUGGGUAUGCAGUGGUUUAGCAUCAGGCUGGUGUGAUAAUUUGGCUUUAGGAGAUCUGGGCUUUGGGUCAUGAAUAUAACACAUCAGGCCACGGGUAUUGUGGGAGUGGGUCUCAGCCUCUCCCUGUGCCUUUCUCUCUAGAUAUCGCCACCUCCUCCUUCCUCCUGCUCCACCUGAGCCUCUGCUUCCUCUGCGGAGAACCUUGUGCCCAGGAAUCCACCUAAAUCCAGGAGACACCAGACACAUGGAUGCUGCCUGAAACAGGGUAAUGCAUAUAAAGCCUGGGUCAUCCAUGGAAUCAAGCUGGGACCCAGGGCUGAAGGGUGCUGGUUGAUUUGGGGCCUGCUCUCGUGACUUACAAAAUGGAGCGGUUUAUUUCAGGGUGUGGGGUGGUCGUGUAUGGGGUGAGGGUCUUAGCCGAAUGUGACAGUGUGCCUGACAGGGAGAGGAGCAAGGACACCAUGCAGACAAUAGGCCUGGGCCAGCGCAGACCAGACUUUUGCUGUGGGAGGCAGAGGAAGGGCCGAGAGUUGCUGUUAGAGCACAGGUCCACCAGAGGGCGCCAGAGCCCAGCAGAGCCCCCUGCAGCUCCCUGUUUGCGCGUCCAGGCUCAGUGGGGAGUGGAGAUGGACGCAUGGAACCUCAAGGAGGUGCCCAGAGCCUGGUGUGUUUGUUCAGGGUGCCUCUGACCCAGUGGCCCAGAUAGCCUCAACUCAAACGAGGGGACAGUGUUGUGCUACCGCGUGUCUAAUUCAAUUCCUGUCUGGUCGGGUGGCCCCAAGAUGAGGGAGAGAGACAGGCUGUCUGUGGUCUGAGUGUCCUUUGCUUGUUGGCAGGCAGACCUCUGGACCCAGAAACACCUGGCUUGAAUACUGGAGAUAUCGCCACCUCCUCCUUCCUCCUGCUCCACCUGAGCCUCUGCUUCCUCUGCGGAGAACCUUGUGCCCAGGAAUCCACCUAAAUCCAGGAGACACCAGACACAUGGAUGCUGCCUGAAACAGGGUAAUGCAUAUAAAGCCUGGGUCAUCCAUGGAAUCAAGCUGGGACCCAGGGCUGAAGGGUGCUGGUUGAUUUGGGGCCUGCUCUCGUGACUUACAAAAUGGAGCGGUUUAUUUCAGGGUGUGGGGUGGUCGUGUAUGGGGUGAGGGUCUUAGCCGAAUGUGACAGUGUGCCUGACAGGGAGAGGAGCAAGGACACCAUGCAGACAAUAGGCCUGGGCCAGCGCAGACCAGACUUUUGCUGUGGGAGGCAGAGGAAGGGCCGAGAGUUGCUGUUAGAGCACAGGUCCACCAGAGGGCGCCAGAGCCCAGCAGAGCCCCCUGCAGCUCCCUGUUUGCGCGUCCAGGCUCAGUGGGGAGUGGAGAUGGACGCAUGGAACCUCAAGGAGGUGCCCAGAGCCUGGUGUGUUUGUUCAGGGUGCCUCUGACCCAGUGGCCCAGAUAGCCUCAACUCAAACGAGGGGACAGUGUUGUGCUACCGCGUGUCUAAUUCAAUUCCUGUCUGGUCGGGUGGCCCCAAGAUGAGGGAGAGAGACAGGCUGUCUGUGGUCUGAGUGUCCUUUGCUUGUUGGCAGGCAGACCUCUGGACCCAGAAACACCUGGCUUGAAUACUGGAGAUAUCGCCACCUCCUCCUUCCUCCUGCUCCACCUGAGCCUCUGCUUCCUCUGCGGAGAACCUUGUGCCCAGGAAUCCACCUAAAUCCAGGAGACACCAGACACAUGGAUGCUGCCUGAAACAGGGUAAUGCAUAUAAAGCCUGGGUCAUCCAUGGAAUCAAGCUGGGACCCAGGGCUGAAGGGUGCUGGUUGAUUUGGGGCCUGCUCUCGUGACUUACAAAAUGGAGCGGUUUAUUUCAGGGUGUGGGGUGGUCGUGUAUGGGGUGAGGGUCUUAGCCGAAUGUGACAGUGUGCCUGACAGGGAGAGGAGCAAGGACACCAUGCAGACAAUAGGCCUGGGCCAGCGCAGACCAGACUUUUGCUGUGGGAGGCAGAGGAAGGGCCGAGAGUUGCUGUUAGAGCACAGGUCCACCAGAGGGCGCCAGAGCCCAGCAGAGCCCCCUGCAGCUCCCUGUUUGCGCGUCCAGGCUCAGUGGGGAGUGGAGAUGGACGCAUGGAACCUCAAGGAGGUGCCCAGAGCCUGGUGUGUUUGUUCAGGGUGCCUCUGACCCAGUGGCCCAGAUAGCCUCAACUCAAACGAGGGGACAGUGUUGUGCUACCGCGUGUCUAAUUCAAUUCCUGUCUGGUCGGGUGGCCCCAAGAUGAGGGAGAGAGACAGGCUGUCUGUGGUCUGAGUGUCCUUUGCUUGUUGGCAGGCAGACCUCUGGACCCAGAAACACCUGGCUUGAAUACUGGAGGUAUAGAUUUCUAGAAUCAGCAUGGCGGGGGGGUUGUCUCCUGGGAAGCUGGGCUUCAGGUCAUGAAUGGGGUGUGUCCGUGCGGUUGUAUUUGGGGGCUGGGGUGGACUAUGCUCAUGGCGGGCUCUGUCCAUCAGAAGGAGCCAGAGUAACUGGAGAGCCCCUCCCCACCAACACCUCUCCCCCCUUGUAGCACUGUGGCUGCGUCGCCAGGCUCAGACACGGGGUGCAAAAUGAUUGGUGGCCCAAUGUGCCUCAACUCAGAGAUGAUCCAGAUUCCACCAUCACGUCUUGGGUUCAUUCUCUGCAUGAGCGGGUAGCCCAAUGGCUAGAGAGUUUGAUAGGCGGCCUGGGGCCUGCGUGCCCUUUGCUUGUUUGAAGUACAACACUGGACCCAGAAAUCCCUGGCUUCGAUAUUGGGUAUGCAGUGGUUUAGCAUCAGGCUGGUGUGAUAAUUUGGCUUUAGGAGAUCUGGGCUUUGGGUCAUGAAUAUAACACAUCAGGCCACGGGUAUUGUGGGAGUGGGUCUCAGCCUCUCCCUGUGCCUUUCUCUCUAGAUAUCGCCACCUCCUCCUUCCUCCUGCUCCACCUGAGCCUCUGCUUCCUCUGCGGAGAACCUUGUGCCCAGGAAUCCACCUAAAUCCAGGAGACACCAGACACAUGGAUGCUGCCUGAAACAGGGUAAUGCAUAUAAAGCCUGGGUCAUCCAUGGAAUCAAGCUGGGACCCAGGGCUGAAGGGUGCUGGUUGAUUUGGGGCCUGCUCUCGUGACUUACAAAAUGGAGCGGUUUAUUUCAGGGUGUGGGGUGGUCGUGUAUGGGGUGAGGGUCUUAGCCGAAUGUGACAGUGUGCCUGACAGGGAGAGGAGCAAGGACACCAUGCAGACAAUAGGCCUGGGCCAGCGCAGACCAGACUUUUGCUGUGGGAGGCAGAGGAAGGGCCGAGAGUUGCUGUUAGAGCACAGGUCCACCAGAGGGCGCCAGAGCCCAGCAGAGCCCCCUGCAGCUCCCUGUUUGCGCGUCCAGGCUCAGUGGGGAGUGGAGAUGGACGCAUGGAACCUCAAGGAGGUGCCCAGAGCCUGGUGUGUUUGUUCAGGGUGCCUCUGACCCAGUGGCCCAGAUAGCCUCAACUCAAACGAGGGGACAGUGUUGUGCUACCACGUGUCUAAUUCAAUUCCUGUCUGGUCGGGUGGCCCCAAGAUGAGGGAGAGAGACAGGCUGUCUGUGGUCUGAGUGUCCUUUGCUUGUUGGCAGGCAGACCUCUGGACCCAGAAACACCUGGCUUGAAUACUGGAGGUAUAGAUUUCUAGAAUCAGCAUGGCGGGGGGGUUGUCUCCUGGGAAGCUGGGCUUCAGGUCAUGAAUGGGGUGUGUCCGUGCGGUUGUAUUUGGGGGCUGGGGUGGACUAUGCUCAUGGCGGGCUCUGUCCAUCAGAAGGAGCCAGAGUAACUGGAGAGCCCCUCCCCACCAACACCUCUCCCCCCUUGUAGCACUGUGGCUGCGUCGCCAGGCUCAGACACGGGGUGCAAAAUGAUUGGUGGCCCAAUGUGCCUCAACUCAGAGAUGAUCCAGAUUCCACCAUCACGUCUUGGGUUCAUUCUCUGCAUGAGCGGGUAGCCCAAUGGCUAGAGAGUUUGAUAGGCGGCCUGGGGCCUGCGUGCCCUUUGCUUGUUUGAAGUACAACACUGGACCCAGAAAUCCCUGGCUUCGAUAUUGGGUAUGCAGUGGUUUAGCAUCAGGCUGGUGUGAUAAUUUGGCUUUAGGAGAUCUGGGCUUUGGGUCAUGAAUAUAACACAUCAGGCCACGGGUAUUGUGGGAGUGGGUCUCAGCCUCUCCCUGUGCCUUUCUCUCUAGAUAUCGCCACCUCCUCCUUCCUCCUGCUCCACCUGAGCCUCUGCUUCCUCUGCGGAGAACCUUGUGCCCAGGAAUCCACCUAAAUCCAGGGAUCUCUACAAGCUCCCUCUUCCCUCUGCACCCGAGCCGCUUCAGCCUCAGCAGGACACGCAUUCGAAGGAACCUGUCUACAUCCAUGAAAGCUUUUUCUUCCCUCCCACCUGAGCCUCUUUCUGUGCUGCCAGAACCUGUUGCAAGGAAGAUACUUCAAACAGAGGUCUCCGCAGCCUCUGUCUUCCCUCUGUAGCUGAGCUGCUUCUGCCUCUGCAGGACUCCACUUGAAGGAAGCUGUCUAAAUCCAUGUAAGAGAUCUCCUCGUAUUUUUUUCCCUCCCCCCUGAGGCUCUUCCUCCUCACCAGACACCUGUUCCAAGGAAGCUCCUGCAACAAGGGUGUGGGCUUGUGUCGUGAAGGUUGAGUAUCCAGAGUGACAGUGAAGAAUCCAUACUCCCACCCAAGAGUGGAUUUCAGUGUGCCUGAGAGGAAGAAGAGGAAGACAUCCUGCUGGCAUGUGCCCCAGGUCAGUGCAGACCAGAGUUUUGCUGUGGGAGGCAGAGGAAGGGCUGAGAGUUAUUAGAGCACAUGUCCACCAGAGGGCACCAGAGCCCCUCAUCGCCUCUGCAGCUCCCUGUUUGUAUCUCCAGGCUCAGAAGGGGUUGGAAGAGGGACCCAUGGAACCUCAGGGAGGGGCCCAGAGCCCGGUGUUGGUUUGCAUGGUGCCUCUGACACUGUGGCCCCAUUUGCCUCAAUGCAGGGAGGGGACAGAUUUCUGCCAUUAAAUAUCUAAUUCAGUUCCUAUCUGGCUGGGUGGCCCCAAGUUUAGGGAGUUUGAUAGGCUCUUGGUCUGUGUGUCCUUUACUUGUUUGGAAGCAGAACUCUGGACCCAGAAACACCUGGCUUCAAUGGUGGAUGUUCAGUUUUCUAGAAUCAGCCUGGUGGGGAGUUCGGCUUCUGGAAAGCUGGGCUUCGGUGAUGAAUGGGGUGUGUCUGUGCUGUUGUAUUUCAGGGGUGGGGUGGGCUAUGCACAUGGCUGAGCUCUUUUUCUCCAGAGAUGCCCACAACCUUCAUAUUUCCACUGCCCCUGAGCCACUUCCACCUCUGCGUGACACCCUUUGAAGGAAGCUCUCUCCAUCCAUGUAAGGUGAAUCACGGCUGGGUUGUUUAGUGUUCCAAGGUGAGUCCUGGAUAGGUAGGCUGCUCAUUCAAACCUGCUGGCCUGACUUACAUAGGAGGUUGCUGAUUUUAGGGAGUGGAUAAAUGUGGGCGGGGUGAGGGGCCUGGCUGACGUGAGACAGUCCCUCCCCACCCGUCAUGCAUCUGAGUGUGCUGAGAGGGAGAGCAGUAAGAAAGCCACCUGACAGCUGCCCCAGGCCCGGGCAGAGCAGGGUUCCUCUGUGGGAGGCAGAGGAAGGGCUGAGACUUGCUGUGAGGGCCUCUGUCCACCAGCCUGAGCCGGAGCAACAGCAGAGCUUCCCCUGACCCCCGCCUACUCUCACCACCGUGGCCACAUCACCAGGCUCAGAUUCAGAGAGCAAAGGGCUUGGGGGAGGCCCAAGGAGGUACUUGGGUACUUGGUGCCUCCUAUACUGUUGCCCAAUGUGCUUCGACUCAGAGGAGGAUUAAGGUUCUGCCCCACAUUUCAGGUUCAAUCUGUGCAUGAUCAGGUGGCCCAAUGGCUGGAGAGUUUGACAGGUGGUCUCGGGCCUGAGUGCCCUUUGCUGGUUUGAAGCACAUUGCUGGACCCAGAAACCCCUGCCUUAAAUCUUGGGCGUGCGGAGUUGUAAAUCAGCCUGGGGUGAAAUUUGGCUUCUGGAAAGCUGGGCUUUUGGUCAUGAAUGCAGUGCAUUAAUGUGGUGGUGCUGUGGGGGCAGGUCUCAGCCUCUCCCUGUGCCUUUCUCUCUAGAGAUCUCUACCUCCUCCUUCCUCCUGUUCCUCCUCUGUGGGGGAGCCUGUCAAGGAACCUACCUCAAUUCAGGGAGUGUGAAUGACGCCUGGGAGGUCCUGGAUCUCAAGCCAGGUACAGGGUUGCGGGGUGCUGAUGGAGGGCCACCUGGUUCCAUUAACUUACCAAGGUGUCUGAUUUCAGGGAGCGGGGUGGUCUCAGUUGGGCUGAGGGCCCUGGCUGACUCUGAGAUAGUCCCCCCAUCAUGCCUUUCAGUGUGCUGUGAGGGAGAGGACUUAGGAAACCAGGCUGGCAAGGGGCCCAGGCCUCUGCCUGGAGUGCAGACCAGGCUUCUGCUGUGGGAGGCAGAGGGAGGCCUGAGAGUGUUAGAGCAGAUGGCCACCAGAUGGCGCCAUAGCACCAGAGUGCCCCCUGCUGCAUCGCCUGGACUUCACCUUCAGGCCCCCAGGCAAGAUUGGAGAUGGGUCUUGGUCCAGUGGCCCAAUGGCUAGAGAGUUUGACAGGCUAACUCAGGUCCGAUUCCCGUUGGUAGUUUGGAGGCACAACUCUGGACCCAGAAAUACCAGGCUUGGAUUUUGGCCCUACAAUUUGCUGGACUCAGGCUGGUCCAUGUAGAAUGUACUUCCAGAAAGGUGGCCUUCUGGUUGUGAAGGCGCCGUGUCAGCACAGUGGUUUCGGGCGCAGACUGUGCUCAUACCUAUGCUCUUUCUCUCCAGAGAUCUCAAGCUUUUCCUUCCCUCCCACCUGAUCCUCUCCCUCCUCCGCCAGACACCUGCUGCAGGGAGGUCCUAAAACCAGGUAACUUUUACAAAGGCUGCAUGGUCCUUGGGUUCAUGCUGGGUCCUAGGCUUGAAGGGUGCUGACUGAUCAGGGGCUGCUCAUAGGACUUACCAAGUGGGGUUGUUGAUUUCAGGGUGUGGGGUGAGUUCCGGCUCUGAGAUUGUCACACCCCAGCCCGUAGCGUGUUUCUGGGCGCUGAAAGGGAGAGGAGGAAGGAAAUCACACUGGCAGUGCCCCCGGGCCCUGCAGAGCGGACUUCUGACGUGGGAGGCUGUCAGGGCUCCGAGUUGCUGUUAGAGCAGCACAUUCUGGUCAAAGGGCUCUGGAGAACCCCGGAGACCCUCCACUCCUUCAGGCUGAAAUACAUGGUUGCCGAUUGUAUGACGAGACCCCAUGGAAGUGCUCGGGGCUGAGAUGGGGUUACAGGGCGCCUCUUAUCAUCUGGCCAAUUUCUUUCACCUCAGGAUACUGGCAUAAUUGCUCACACAUCUUUGGUUCAAAUUCAGCGUGUUUCUCUGAUAAAUGACCAGAAAAUUUGACAGGGCUGACAUCACGCCCUCUCCUCUUGGGUGUUCAGUUCGCUGAGAGGAAGGGGCAGAGGACACUCACGCCGGUCUGUGCCCAAGACCAGUGCUUCAAACGUCAAAGCCCCAUCUUUAGCCCUGGUGUUUCUGGACCCAAGGG